rnacentral:pre_miRNA from 1 species
AUGGGUAGGUCGGAUCCUGGGCUGUCCCCCAGCGCCCUGUGCUCCCGGGCCUGUGCUGUUUGAUUCAUUCUCCCGGCCAGGCAGCCCCCU